UCCACUUACUUUUACACCUUUUUUUCCGGUCACAUAACCACCUACUAAUUCUAUUUCAAGUAUUUCCUUCGGUCCAAGAGUGGAACUGCUCUUAACAGUACUCACAAAAGGCUUCAAUUUCUCAUGAUCAACUUGGUUUGUGCUCUGCUUGGAAAGACGAUGGAACAAAGAUUUCAGUUUAUUUACAUCAUCGCUUCAUCGGAUUAUGU